GCAUAUCAAUAAGCGGAGGAAAAGAAACCCAACAGGGAUUGCCCUAGUAACGGCGAGUGAAGCGGCAACAGCUCAAAUUUGAAAUCUGGCGUCUUUGGCGUCCGAGUUGUAAUUUGCAGAGGGCGCUUUGGCAUUGGCAGCGGUCCAAGUUCCUUGGAACAGGACGUCACAGAGGGUGAGAAUCCCGUACGUGGUCGCUAGCCUUUACCGUGUAAAGCCCCUUCGACGAGUCGAGUUGUUUGGGAAUGCAGCUCUAAAUGGGAGGUAAAUUUCUUCUAAAGCUAAAUACUGGCCAGAGACCGAUAGCGCACAAGUAGAGUGAUCGAAAAGAUGAAAAGCACUUUGGAAAGAGAGUUAAAAAGCACGUGAAAUUGUUGAAAGGGAAGCGCUUGCAGCCAGACUUGCCUGUAGUUGCUCAAUCCGGGUUUUUACCCGGUGCACUCUUCUAUAGGCAGGCCAGCAUCAGUUUGGGCGGUUGGAUAAAGGUCUCUGUCAUGUACCUCUCUUCGGGGAGAACUUAUAGGGGAGACGACAUGCAACCAGCCUGGACUGAGGUCCGCGCAUCUGCUAGGAUGCUGGCGUAAUGGCUGUAAGCGGCCCGUCUUGAAACACGGACCAAGGAGUCUAACAUCUAUGCGAGUGUUUGGGUGUCAAGCCCGAACGCGUAAUGAAAGUGAACGGAGGUGGGAACCUUUCGGGGUGCACCAUCGACCGAUCCUGAUGUCUUCGGAUGGAUUUGAGUAAGAGCAUAGCUGUUGGGACCCGAAAGAUGGUGAACUAUGCUUGAAUAGGGUGAAGCCAGAGGAAACUCUGGUGGAGGCUCGCAGCGGUUCUGACGUGCAAAUCGAUCGUCAAAUUUGGGCAUAGGGGCGAAAGACUAAUCGAACUAUCUAGUAGCUGGUUCCUGCCGAAGUU
rnacentral:rRNA from 1 species